CCCCCCCCCCCCCCCCCCCCCCCCCCCCCCCCCCCCCCCCCCCCCCCCCCCCCCCCCUGCUGCGGACACCGGCCGCAACCGGCCGAGCCCUUUCCGUCCGCCCCUGGGCAGCAGCCCGCGUGCGUGCGUGCGUGCGUAUAACACGCUCUUGAGCUGCACGGGUGAGGCGCGCCCCGAGACGUGUUGGCGUUGAGUUUUGUGGGGAGUAUGUUUUCCUUGCGUUAGCGGUAGUACGGUAAAGGUCGUCAUCGCGGUGGCAGCCCCCAGUUGGCUCUGCAGAUGUCAGGGCUUGGGAGCGCUCCGGGAGAGCCGGGACACAGGGCAGGGCGGCGCGGACCCGCAGUGAGUCGAUUGGAGGCGAUGAAGGCGCCGUGUUUGCCCAGGACUCGUGGAACAGCUGUCCUAUUGCUAGACACUGUCCUCUGCUGGGCUGCACUGGGGACCUUCGGGGGGAGUGGAUGCAGGCACUGUGCGUGGUAUGGUUCAAACACUGCAGGAGACAGAGGUGGUUCUGAGAAGCAGCACCAGCGCAGCCUGAGCAUGGUUUUCACCACGGACAACAGCCCAGGCUCUAAAGCUCACCAUGUGCACACUUGGAUGACUAGGUUUGCACCCUGCUCUAAUUUUCAAUUUGUGUCUGCAAGCACGAAGUCUUUGAUU
rnacentral:lncRNA from 12 species